UACAGAGGUCCCAAGCGUUGUUCGGAUUCACUGGGCGUAAAGGGUGCGUAGGUGGUUGGGAAAGUUUGAUGUGAAAGCUCGGAGCUUAACUCCGAAAUGGCAUUGAAUACUUCUUAACUUGAGGGUCGGAGGGGAGACUGGAAUUCUCGGUGUAGCAGUGAAAUGCGUAGAUAUGCGGAGGAACACCGAUGGCGAAGGCAAUCCCCUGGGCCUGUACUGACGCUCAUGCACGAAAGCGUGGGGGAGCAAACAGG
rnacentral:rRNA from 1 species